UUAAUUAAAAAUACUGUUGCAUGCAUACUUUUUUAUUUCUUUUUUCGCUGAAUUGAAAUUUGAUAUGUUUCUUGGCAUGUUCGUGAUACUCAUCAGAGCCUGAAACCUGAAAAAUUGCCAGCACAAGAAAGGAAAAUGUAUCAAACAGCUUACAAAUAUAUGUAGUUGUAGGCAGUGCGGACACUGCACUGCAGAAUAGAUCAACGAUGACAACUCGGUCAUCCUUAGCCAGCUGACUGUCAAUUACCAAGGAGCCACACACAAAACACCUGACGCUUAGUGGGAUAGAGGGGGGGGGGGCGCUUUAUCAAUAGUCGCAUAAUGUCACAAGGGGGAUCCCAAAGCACUGUCACGUGACGGAGUUACGGAGAUAAGAUAAUUUAUUGUAGAAUCCAUACCAUGAAGUAGAGAGAUUGCUUACACAGCAGAAUCCUUGAAUUUUACUGUUCCUUCCAUAUCGUUUCUCUCGGACUAACCUGCGACCAGGCUUUUAUUUUUCUCGAGGCGAGCAGCAAGAGAAAUGAAGAAAAAUGAAGGCAUUUAGACGUUUACUCAAUAUGGCACUCGAUCACAGGCGCAACCAUAUAUGUUUGUCAAAAACAAACAUGACGGAAGCAGAUACAUGCACGAUAUUUGGGUUUCUGGGUUUGUUUACCAUAACUACAAUAAUAAAUAGCAUGCGUUAAACAGACUAUUUGGGAUGGUGAUGCUUUGACUGUGCCCACAAAGGGCAUGCAAGCUGAAAAUUACUUCACCGCUGUGGGAAUCAAAGUGACAUCGAACCCACGAGUCCAAAUUCUCUACCUACUGAGCUAUACAGCUAUUUCAAUUAAGGUUGUCCCCCGAGCAAAGCG
rnacentral:lncRNA from 1 species